UUAACUCAAAUUUGUAUGGAGUUGGAACAGCCUCCCUACGUUUGCCGCUAGGGGCGCUGUUUCAGCUCAAUAUGAAUGUGGGCCG
rnacentral:pre_miRNA from 1 species